rnacentral:lncRNA from 1 species
AAAAUGUACCAGGUAUUUAUUUGGCUAGUUAAAGAAGAAGUAAUACAGAGCUUGGGAGGUAAGGUUAAAGUCCUGUUUGCCAUUAACUACAAAGCAACGCAGAGAGAGACCAAGUCAAUCUUCUAGUGUGCCACCGGUGUUUGAAAUGUAUUCAUUAAACAAAGAAACUGCAGGAACAGUAAGUACCCUCGAAAUAAUUACUAUUUUUAAUGCCAUUUUCCUGCAGAAUUUAUUUGGUUUAAGGGCUGCAGGAGACUAUUUUACUCUACAGUUUUAUUAAUUAUAUGUUCUUGCUACAGUGCAAGAACAUGAUUUUUUGCCUUUUUUGGUUUGAAGGCUUUUUUCGCUCCCCAAAAUAUUGUUGCAUGACACAUUUACCCACUUGUAACUAAGUCACCUUUCUUGGAGACAGAUUGCAUUAAAUUGUACUUGAAGAUAUGAACACAAUCUACCCUUUAAAAAAGAAUGAAAACAGUUGUAUUGGAAACUUUUGGCCCAGAGGAAAGGUUUUCCUAGAAAAUCCUGCUUUACUAAGAAGAUCUUUUUCUGCUUCCUCAGUUUUCCAUCAUUCUUCAAGACUAAUUAUUGAUUACAUCUAAAAUAAGAAAAAGAAAAAGGAAGACAGAUUUCCUAACAAGUAAUAUCUGUUUAUCAUCAGAUGCCAAGAAACUGUACAACAGCUUGGAGAAAUGGAGUGGUUUUUUCUGUGGCUUGGGAGUCCAGAUCAUUGCAGGAACUUCUGAAAUUGUGAAUCCAAAGAUUUUGUAAAAUUUAUGUCUUGAAAAUGAAAAUUUCAUUUUAAUUUAUUUAAUACUAAAGGUAACACAGAACAAUUUUUCAGACUGAAAUCCUCAAAGAGGCAUUAAUGUAAUAAUGUGACCAGAAUUGUUUUCAUAUCUCUAACAUUGCUUCUCCAUUCAUACAGCUCACAGUCUGUCAGCUACGAGCUUUUAUUUGUUUGUAUACUUCUUCAAGAGUACAAGAGAUAAACCAAGAGAUAGCCCUUCCAGUAAUGUGAUAAGCCAUGUAUUAUUAACGAAUCACAAAUUAAAGUAAUUACUGAUGCUCAUGUAUAUAAUAUUCCUGAACAAUAUCUACAAAGACAUUGUUUCUAUAGGAGUUCUGUAAAUAUGAGCCCAAAUUAACUAUAAAUUAUAAUCAGUUGACUGAACUCAAUGCAAUAAUUAAUUCAACAAAAUCCUUCACCACAAAAAUAUGUAGAAGAGCAAAGAUCUGAUUAUAGGUCAGCAGUUGUCCUGAUAUUUUCAGUAACUGAACCAUUUCUCUACCUCUGUAGAAAUAAAGAGGAAGCACACAGAGGCA